GUGGGGAAUAUUGGACAAUGGGCGCAAGCCUGAUCCAGCCAUGCCGCGUGAGUGAUGAAGGCCUUAGGGUUGUAAAGCUCUUUCAGUAGGGAAGAUAAUGACGGUACCUACAGAAGAAGCCCCGGCUAACUUCGUGCCAGCAGCCGCGGUAAUACGAAGGGGGCUAGCGUUGUUCGGAUUUACUGGGCGUAAAGCGCACGUAGGCGGAUUGGUCAGUUAGAGGUGAAAUCCCGAAGCUCAACUUCGGAACUGCCUUUAAUACUGCCAGUCUCGAGUCCGUAAGAGGUGAGUGGAACUCCUAGUGUAGAGGUGGAAUUCGUAGAUAUUAGGAAGAACACCAGUGGCGAAGGCGGCUCACUGGUCCGGUACUGACGCUGAGGUGCGAAAGCGUGGGGAGCAAACAGGAUUAGAUACCCUUGUAGUCC
rnacentral:rRNA from 1 species